UAACGGCGUCGAGCGGCGGACGGGUGAGUAAUGCCUAGGAAAUUGCCCUGAUGUGGGGGAUAACCAUUGGAAACGAUGGCUAAUACCGCAUGAUGCCUACGGGCCAAAGAGGGGGACCUUCGGGCCUCUCGCGUCAGGAUAUGCCUAGGUGGGAUUAGCUAGUUGGUGAGGUAAGGGCUCACCAAGGCGACGAUCCCUAGCUGGUCUGAGAGGAUGAUCAGCCACACUGGAACUGAGACACGGUCCAGACUCCUACGGGAGGCAGCAGUGGGGAAUAUUGCACAAUGGGCGCAAGCCUGAUGCAGCCAUGCCGCGUGUGUGAAGAAGGCCUUCGGGUUGUAAAGCACUUUCAGUCGUGAGGAAGGUAGUGUAGUUAAUAGCUGCAUUAUUUGACGUUAGCGACAGAAGAAGCACCGGCUAACUCCGUGCCAGCAGCCGCGGUAAUACGGAGGGUGCGAGCGUUAAUCGGAAUUACUGGGCGUAAAGCGCAUGCAGGUGGUUUGUUAAGUCAGAUGUGAAAGCCCGGGGCUCAACCUCGGAAUAGCAUUUGAAACUGGCAGACUAGAGUACUGUAGAGGGGGGUAGAAUUUCAGGUGUAGCGGUGAAAUGCGUAGAGAUCUGAAGGAAUACCGGUGGCGAAGGCGGCCCCCUGGACAGAUACUGACACUCAGAUGCGAAAGCGUGGGGAGCAAACAGGAUUAGAUACCCUGGUAGUCCACGCCGUAAACGAUGUCUACUUGGAGGUUGUGGCCUUGAGCCGUGGCUUUCGGAGCUAACGCGUUAAGUAGACCGCCUGGGGAGUACGGUCGCAAGAUUAAAACUCAAAUGAAUUGACGGGGGCCCGCACAAGCGGUGGAGCAUGUGGUUUAAUUCGAUGCAACGCGAAGAACCUUACCUACUCUUGACAUCCAGAGAACUUUCCAGAGAUGGAUUGGUGCCUUCGGGAACUCUGAGACAGGUGCUGCAUGGCUGUCGUCAGCUCGUGUUGUGAAAUGUUGGGUUAAGUCCCGCAACGAGCGCAACCCUUAUCCUUGUUUGCCAGCGAGUAAUGUCGGGAACUCCAGGGAGACUGCCGGUGAUAAACCGGAGGAAGGUGGGGACGACGUCAAGUCAUCAUGGCCCUUACGAGUAGGGCUACACACGUGCUACAAUGGCGCAUACAGAGGGCGGCCAACUUGCGAAAGUGAGCGAAUCCCAAAAAGUGCGUCGUAGUCCGGAUUGGAGUCUGCAACUCGACUCCAUGAAGUCGGAAUCGCUAGUAAUCGUGGAUCAGAAUGCCACGGUGAAUACGUUCCCGGGCCUUGUACACACCGCCCGUCACACCAUGGGAGUGG
rnacentral:rRNA from 1 species